rnacentral:rRNA from 1 species
UACGUAGGGUCCGAGCGUUGUCCGGAAUUACUGGGCGUAAAGAGCUCGUAGGUGGUUUGUCGCGUUGUUCGUGAAAACUCACAGCUUAACUGUGGGCGUGCGGGCGAUACGGGGCAGACUGGAGUACUGCAGGGGAGACUGGAAUUCCUGGUGUAGCGGUGGAAUGCGCAGAUAUCAGGAGGAACACCGGUGGCGAAGGCGGGGUCUCUGGGGCAGUAACUGACGCUGGAGGAGCGAAAGCGUGGGGAGCGAACAGG